rnacentral:misc_RNA from 1 species
GAGGAGGAGGAGGAGGGGGGGGGGAGAGGGCAGGGAAGAGCACAUAACCGAACUCAAAUUUUAACCAGUCCCAAUUGAAUACCCACCAAAAAAAAAGUUUUACAGCAGAAUGAUGACAUUUAUUUAGGCUGAAUUGGGGAAAUCAAAGCUUCAUACGCUAGUCCAGCAGAUAAAGCCUUUUGCUUUCAACUAAUAGUGACUGCACGUGGCGACAAAAUGGGUUAAAAAGUAAAUUAGCAAAACAAAGCCAUUUGCCCCUACUGCAGGAGGUAGGGGGUAUAGGAUGCUAGUAGAUUAUGUUCAAUCCACGUUUUCUCCAAUUGUAUUAGAAACUUAAAAAGUGAAACAAAGUUUAUAUGAACUUCAUAGACUAGGUUGGCACAAGCCCUUAGCAUUCAAUUAACAAUAGCCACACAUAGGUACACGAUGGAUUAAAAUCCAAUUGAAUAAAAUUAGUAACACAAGGUUUGUACUUAUUCACAUACCUUGCCCCUAAUCUCCAACAAUCUAAGGACACCAUAGCAAGUUAUAAGAACAGGAAAAUAAAUAACAGAUGAUUCAGAAUCAUCAAUCAAAGGCAAUAACCAAAGCAGGGUGAUUAGUGUUGCAUAGCACUGGUGUAGAAACUGGUCCUACAUUUUAAUUAUGAAUUAUCCACAAUCACCGAAAAAAACAGAUAAUAAUAGCCUAUAGAUCAUUAUUUGGAAUUAUACAUAUAAAGGCAUAGCUAAUUACCCAGAGAACAACCAAAAGGGCUUCCUCUACCACUUAAUUGAUGACCAGCACAAGAUACUCUUGAUAGAAAAACAGAGAGGAAGUAAUCUAUGUUAGUACAUCCAUCAAGCAAUUAGUACUAGGUCACAGAAGUAGUGGCUUAGAUUGAGUGCAAUGUAGGAGCUUCCGAACUCCAGGAACCUCAAAAAGAGUUCAGAGAGACUAACAAACUCCAAAUGUUAAAUGUAAGCAUUGUUGACAGACCCACCUUAGCCCAUCAGUGUUGGGAAAGGGAGGAGUAUAAUCAAUGCUAGCAAAAGAGGUGCAUAAUUCUAAGGCUUCAAAUAUCCUACCAUAAGCACAUGACCUAGUGUGGGUGAGCAGGUUAGGAUUAGAAAGAAAAUA